AUCACUUCUCAGCCUUUUGGCUAAGAUCAAGUGUAGCACUUGAUCUUGGGGUCAUGAGUUCAAGGGCACUUUGGGUGUAGAGAUUACUUUAAAAAAAUGUAAAAUGGAGCAGCUGGGUGGUUCAUUUGGUUAAACAUCUGACUUUGGCUCAGGUCAUGAUCUCAUGGUUCAUGAGUUUGAGCACUGUGU
ensembl:snRNA U2 U2 spliceosomal RNA